AAUCAUUCCCCUAUGAUGUGGCAUUUAUUUGCAGAUAAGUCUGAUGGUUGUCGCCUGUGACAGAAAGGUAAUCAGCUACUUGGUGAUACAAAGAGACAGUGUCGAGGCUCCUGGGGACAUAUAGACGAACAAAUCUCAUGAAGAAAAUGCAAAGCAUGACAAAAUCCAUGAGGCUUAUACACACACUGCAGCAUGAUUCCAAUUCUGUGCACAGUUCAACAAAUCACAGGGGUUAAAGCCACAUUAAACAAGUGAAUUAAUUGUUUUAAAAGGCUGGUGUUGACGAGUGCUUUUACAUAAAUUACGUACAUUGUGUUUAAAACAAAAUCAAAUAAAUGGUGUAUUUAAAUCUGUGUCUCAUAUGCAACAAUAUGUGCUGCAUGAAAUGACUGCAUAAAGUAGUUUGCCACUGUAAUGUUAUUUUCGAUGUACAAUGUAAGAAAUGUAAGAUGCUGGAAUGAUUCUGGACAAACAAAUCAAUAAUUGGAAUUAGUUCCUGUUUUUAAAUGAGGUUGUCAAUCCUGAAAUUUUACAGUGUAAUUCAAGAG
rnacentral:lncRNA from 1 species